rnacentral:rRNA from 1 species
UGAGGAAUAUUGGACAAUGGGCGAAAGCCUGAUCCAGCAACGCCGCGUGGAGGAUGACGGCCCUUGGGUUGUAAACUCCUUUUCUGGGGGAAGAGUAAGGACGGUACCUCAGGAAUAAGGCCCGGCUAACUACGUGCCAGCAGCCGCGGUAAUACGUAGGGGCCAAGCGUUAUCCGGAAUUAUUGGGCGUAAAGCGCACGCAGGCGGCAUAUCAAGUUUGGUGUGAAAACUCCCGGCUCAACUGGGAGAGGUCGCUGAAUACUGAUGUGCUUGAGGCAGUGAGAGGGGUGUAGAAUUCCCGGUGUAGUGGUGGAAUGCGUAGAUAUCGGGAGGAAUACCAGUGGCGAAGGCGACACCCUGGCACUGUACUGACGCUCAUGUGCGAAAGCGUGGGGAGCGAACGGGAUUAGAUACCCCCGUAGUCC